AGAGUUUGACUCUGGCUCAGGAUGAACGCUAGCGAUAGGCUUAACACAUGCAAGUCGAGGGGCAGCGAGAUGUAGCAAUACGUCGUCGGCGACCGGCGAAUGGGUGAGUAACACGUAUGCAACUUACCUCUUAGUGGUGAAUAACCCGAUGAAAGUCGGACUAAUACACCAUACUCUCCUUAGAUCACAUGAGAAGAGGAGGAAAGAUUAAUCGCUAAGAGAUAGGCCUGCGUUCCAUUAGCUCGUUGGUAAGGUAACGGCUUACCAAGGCAACGAUGGAUAGGGGGACUGAGAGGUUGACCCCCCACAUUGACACUGAGAUACGGGUCAAACUCCUACGGGAGGCAGCAGUGAGGAAUAUUGGUCAAUGGGCGAGAGCCUGAACCAGCCAAGUCGCGUGAAGGAAGACUGCCCGCAAGGGUUGUAAACUUCUUUUGUAUGGGAUUAAAGUCGUCUACGUGUAGACGUUUGCAGUUACCAUACGAAUAAGCAUCGGCUAACUCCGUGCCAGCAGCCGCGGUAAUACGGAGGAUGCGAGCGUUAUCCGGAAUUAUUGGGUUUAAAGGGUGCGUAGGUUGCAAGGGAAGUCAGGGGUGAAAAGCUGUAGCUCAACUAUGGUCUUGCCUUUGAAACUCUCUAGCUAGAGUGUACUGGAGGUACGUGGAACGUGUGGUGUAGCGGUGAAAUGCAUAGAUAUCACACAGAACUCCGAUUGCGCAGGCAGCGUACUACAUUACAACUGACACUGAAGCACGAAAGCGUGGGUAUCAAACAGGAUUAGAUACCCUGGUAGUCCACGCAGUAAACGAUGAAUACUAGAUCUAUGCGAUACACAGUAUGGGUCUAAGCGAAAGCGAUAAGUAUUCCACCUGGGGAGUACGCCGGCAACGGUGAAACUCAAAGAGAUUGGCGGGGGUCCGCACAAGCGGAGGAACAUGUGGUUUAAUUCGAUGAUACGCGAGGAACCUUA
rnacentral:rRNA from 1 species